AAUUUUGCAACGACGGGCGCGGAGGAGGAGGUUCCCGGAAGCCACGCGCAGCUGGAGCAGCGGCGACCGCAGCUGGAGGCCCGGAGCGCCUGCGGGGCUGGCAGAGGCGAGGGAGGUUGCGGGUAGGAAGGGCGGGCUGCGCGCGCCCCCUGCGUCCCGCGCACCUCGGGGCCGGUCCAUGCUCCCGACGGCUGCGGGCUUCAGCAUCUGGGGCCAGGUUGGGGCGGCGGGGGAGGCGCCGCGAUGCCAGACGAAAAUAUCUUCCUGUUCGUGCCCAACCUCAUCGGUGAGUGCUGCCCGCGGCCCCGGGCCGAACGAGAGGGCGAGGGGCCUUGGCGGGCUCCCUGAUCCUGCCCUGUCUCCCCGCGUCCCGUUCCAAGGUUAUGCCCGGAUUGUCUUCGCCAUCAUUUCUUUCUACUUCAUGCCCUGCUGCCCCCUCACGGCCUCCUCCUUCUACCUGCUCAGCGGCCUGCUGGACGCUUUCGAUGGACACGCUGCUCGCGCUCUUAAUCAAGGAACCCGGUUUGGGGCCAUGCUGGACAUGCUGACGGACCGCUGCUCCACCAUGUGCCUGUUGGUCAACCUGGCCCUGCUGUACCCUGGAGCCACGCUGUUCUUCCAAAUCAGCAUGAGUUUGGAUGUGGCCAGUCACUGGCUGCACCUCCACAGGUCUGCUGCGAUUCUGGGGGCCUGGGCCACUUGGAGACACUACAGUGGGGUGGGCUGAGCCUAGAUGGAAGGGUGUCUGGGAUGGCACUAGGCAUCCUGGAAGGGCUCCUUUUUAGCUCUGCUUUGUAGAAAGACCUCAGGCAAACCUGCCUCUCUUUAAAGCUUCAGUCAUGUUUACAGUUGCAUUAAGCAAUUCUUAGGACUCUUCUGGCUGGGUAUUCUAGGAUUCCAUAUAGGUGACAGCUUAUAGGAAGGGGCAUGGGAGCUUUCAAAUGUGGCAUUUGAAUCCUGACUCUGCCCCCAAAUAGGUAACUGUGGCUUUCGGCAGGAUACUGGUCCUUAGCCGUGCCCAGUUUUCCAUCUGUACAAUAGGUGUUAACGUGAGGAUUGGAUGCAUGGUAGUGGUCAUGAAACCUCGUGGGUUCCCCUGUUUUCUCCCCAAGUUCUGUGGUCCGAGGCAGUGAGAGUCACAAGAUGAUCGACUUGUCCGGGAAUCCGGUGCUUCGGAUCUACUACACCUCGAGGCCUGCUCUGUUCACCUUGUGUGCUGGGAAUGAGCUCUUCUACUGCCUCCUCUACCUGUUCCAUUUCUCUGAGGGACCUUUAGUUGGCUCUGUGGGACUGUUCCGGAUGGGCCUCUGGGUCACUGCCCCCAUCGCCUUGCUGAAGUCGCUCAUCAGCGUCAUCCACCUGAUCACGGCCGCCCGCAACAUGGCUGCCCUGGACGCAGCAGACCGCGCCAAGAAGAAGUGACGCUGGAGCCCCGGGUCCUGGCUGCCCACCUGCCCUGGGAGUCUUGCUGUGCCACACAGCUCCCCACCCCCUGCUAGGAGGUCCCAGUCUCACGCCUUCCUCAUGUGUUGUUCUACCUGCUGGGAUGGGGGUCAGCCUCUCUUUGGUGACGUCACGUUCUCUGGGAUCCCGAGGACCCGGGCCUCAAAUCAGGGAGGAUACGCGGGAGGCCCCAUCCAUCCAGGUGGUGCUCCUGGGGUGCCAGGACCGGGUAGUGUCACACCCUGCCUGCUCAGUCCUGGGGUCCGAGAUGCUAGGGACGCUUGAGUGAGGGAGGUGGUGUGAGGGCCAGGUUUCCUGAAAGGUGGGAGUCAGACCUCCGCCCCCAGCCAGAGCAAGCUUGGGGCACCAUGCCCAGGAGGGAAGAAGCCAUCCACAGCCUUCCCUGUCACCGGCUCCUCUGUCCUGCCUACCCUGGUCCUGGCGGGACUUCACUAUUUGACUUGCUUUCCUUUCAGAUAUUCUUGGCUCAGGGCCUGGGUUGAGGGAGCUUAGGGAAGGACGUCCGUCUGGGUGCUUUUCCUCCAGUUUGCUGGCUGGCUUCUCCGUCUACCCACAGUGACCUCACAGAGAGGCCCUCCUGCCACCCAUGCUCAUGUGGUGUCCCCACCGCCCACUUGUUUGAUGUCACUGACUGUCUACAUGUAUUUAUAUUCUUGAUAUUUUCUACCCUCACUAGAAUGUAAACUCCAUGAAGGCACAGACUUUUCUUGUUCUCUUCUCUAUCCCUAGAGUAAGACCAACUUGAACCUGGCAUAUAGUAGCUGCUUAAUAAAUACUCGUCUGUCAAUG
rnacentral:sRNA from 1 species